UGCGUAGGCGGCGCGGUAAGUCGGGUGUGAAAUCUCGGAGCUUAACUCCGAAACUGCAUUCGAUACUGCCGUGCUUGAGGACUGGAGAGGAGACUGGAAUUUACGGUGUAGCGGUGAAAUGCGUAGAUAUCGUAAGGAAGACCAGUGGCGAAGGCGGGUCUCUGGACAGUUCCUGACGCUGAGGCAUGAAGGGUCAGGGGAGGCAAACG
rnacentral:rRNA from 1 species